rfam:Felis catus isolate Cinnamon breed Abyssinian chromosome D4, whole genome shotgun sequence.
GCCUGGGUGGCUCAGUUGGUUGGGCAUCUGACUUCAGCUCAGGUCAUGAUCUUGCAGUCCAUGAGUUCGAGCCCCGUGUCAGGCU